rnacentral:rRNA from 1 species
GAUGAACGCUGGCGGCGUGCCUAAUACAUGCAAGUCGAGCGAACAGACGAGGAGCUUGCUCCUCUGACGUUAGCGGCGGACGGGUGAGUAACACGUGGAUAACCUACUUAUAAGACUGGGAUAACUUCGGGAAAACGGAGCUAAUACCGGAUAACAUGUUGAACCGCAUGGUUCAACAGUGAAAGACGGUCUUGCUGUCACUUAUAGAUGGAUCCGCGCCGCAUUAGCUAGUUGGUAAGGUAACGGCUUACCAAGGCAACGAUGCGUAGCCGACCUGAGAGGGUGAUCGGCCACACUGGAACUGAGACACGGUCCAGACUCCUACGGGAGGCAGCAGUAGGGAAUCUUCCGCAAUGGGCGAAAGCCUGACGGAGCAACGCCGCGUGAGUGAAGAAGGUCUUCGGAUCGUAAAACUCUGUUAUUAGGGAAGAACAAAAGUGUAAGUAACUAUGCACGUCUUGACGGUACCUAAUCAGAAAGCCACGGCUAACUACGUG